GUGGGGAAUCUUCCGCAAUGGACGAAAGUCUGACGGAGCAACGCCGCGUGAGUGAAGAAGGUUUUCGGAUCGUAAAGCUCUUUCGUUAGGGACGAACGUGCUCUUUGUGAAUAAUGAGGAGUAAUGACGGUACCUAAAUAAGAAGCCACGGCUAACUACGUGCCAGCAGCCGCGGUAAUACGUAGGUGGCAAGCGUUGUCCGGAAUUAUUGGGCGUAAAGCGCGCGCAGGCGGGAUAUCAAGUCUGUCUUAAAAGUGCGAGGCUCAACCUCGUGAGGGGACAGAAACUGUUAUUCUUGAGUGUCGGAGAGGAAAGUGGAAUUCCAAGUGUAGCGGUGAAAUGCGUAGAGAUUUGGAAGAACACCAGUGGCGAAGGCGACUUUCUGGACGAUGUCUGACGCUGAGGCGCGAAAGCUAGGGGAGCGAACGGGAUUAGAUACCCUAGUAGUCC
rnacentral:rRNA from 1 species